GACGAACGCUGGCGGCGUGCCUAAUACAUGCAAGUCGAACGCAGUGGGGACGGGUGAGUAACACGUGGGUAACCUCCCAUCAGAGGGGAUAACACUUGGAAACAGGUGCUAAACCGAUACUGAUGGAUGGACUCGCUGUGCAUUAGCUAGUUGGUGAGGUAACGGCUCACAAAGGCAACGAUGCAUAGCCGGCCUGAGAGGGUGACCAGCCACACUGGGACUGAGACACGGCCCAGACUCCUACGGGAGGCAGCAGUGGGGAAUCUUGGGCAAUGGGCGAAAGUCUGACCGAGCAACGCCGCGUGAGUGAAGAAGGUUUUCGGAUCGUAAAGCUCUGUUGUUGGGGAAGCGGUAUCUAAAGAAAAAGCAACGGCUAACUACGUGCCAGCAGCCGCGGUAAUAC
rnacentral:rRNA from 1 species